rnacentral:tRNA from 1 species
GACAACACGUUGUGGCCGUGUAAACCCAGGUUCAAUUCCUGGUUCGGACA